AUACGGAGGGUACAAGCGUUGUCCGGAUUUAUUGGGUUUAAAGGGUGCGUAGGCGGCCCGUUAAGUCAGUGGUGAAAGGUAUCAGCUUAACUGAUGAAGUGCCAUUGAAACUAGCGGGCUUGAGUACAGACGAGGUAGGCGGAAUUUAUGGUGUAGCGGUGAAAUGCAUAGAUACCAUAAAGAACACCGAUAGCGAAGGCAGCUUACUAGACUGAGACUGACGCUGAGGCACGAAAGCGUGGGGAGCAAACAGGAUGAGAAACCCCAGUAGUCC
rnacentral:rRNA from 1 species